CAUAACAUUUAUCAUUUUAACCAUGUUUAAUUGGAAACUUCAGUGGCAUUACAUACAUUCACAUUGUUGUGCAACCAUCAUCAUCAACAGGUUUUUUGGAAAGAAUGAAUGAAUGUAAUGAGAUUGUAAAGGACCUUGUAAGCCAUCCUAAGGAGUCUGACCUAUAUUCUCUAGGCAAUAAAAAAAAAAAAAGGUACAUGUAAUGGGCAUAAGAGAGGAAAAAGCAAUCAAAAAGCAUUUGGAAGACUAAAUUUACAAUAAUGACUCUCAACCCUGACUACACAUUAGAAAUUUUAAAAAUCAAUCAUGCCUGGGUCACACCCCACACCAAGUCAAUCAGAACCUUUGGGGAAUAAGACUAAAAACAUUCCAGGUGAUUCCAAUGUGCAGCUAAGGCUGAGAACAGUGAAUGCUAGAGCAAAGAUUCUGCUUAAAAUCAAAAUGUGGUCCCCAGUUCAUCAGCAUCACCUGGGAGCUUACUGUAUGUUUUCAAGUUGUUAUCUAUGUUCCAUCACCACUUUCUGAAUAAUAAUCUUCACUUUCUCACUUAGACCAUUGUAAGAAGAAUUUUUGUGAGUUUGAGUCAAACUGUCGACAAAUGCUGGGAAGUAAAAUCUCAAUAGAUUGAGAUAAAGAAGAAUGGCUGUUUUGCAUCUUGUUUUAUACAUUACAAUCAAAACCAGAACAUUCUCAGCUCUGAGCUCCCCAUGCACCAGGGAUGUUGGCUUUGAGCGGGCAGGAUCUGCCCAAGAGGCCUCAGAACUCGUGAGCACCUACUCGGUUCCUGUGAUUGCUUCCCGGUGAGCAGGGAGCAAUAACGUUGCAGAGGAGUGUCCGAAGUUCUGGAAGCCAGAGGUCCGAAAUCCAGAGGCUCUAGAAGGGACCUGAAACUGCUCAGCCAAGGUUUACAAUAAGCAACAUCUAACAGUACGAUGGACAGAAGGGCUUCAGACAGGUGUGACACACCGGCCUCCAGGGAAGCCGCUCUUCCAAAAUCAUCUGGAACACUGUAAGUAUUUCCCUUUAUCACAUGGGUUUACAUCUCACCAGAUCUUUAGUUGCCAUAAGCCUGCUCACUUUUGAAUUAUGCCUUUUAAUCUUCUUUUCAAGUUUAUUACUUCUAGGGUACAAUAAGAAUGCCAGCUUGUCUGUCGCGUCAUCCUCUGGACAUUGCUUAUGUCACCUCCCGGGACACCAGGCUGACCUGGACUUUGCAGAAUCCCUCUUCCCUGCAUGAAGACUCCCCUUCCCGUUUGCUCCUCCUUCCUCAGUCAGACAGGAAGAACCUCUGAGCCUUGGGAUAGGCAGGACUAUGCCCCCUUGACAGCAGAAAGCAAUUACAAGAAGAUGGAGAUAUUCACCCAUUUAUCUCCUUGUAAGAUUACAAGGCUUAAGUUCUUGAAGGGAGAGAGUAAUACCACUGUGGUCAGCUAGUUAUUAAUAAUAGGACAGAAGCAAAGGGAAGGUCAGAUAUUAUAGGCUUGUCAUUUGCGCAGUUUCACCAGGAAGCUGCAACUUUGCACUCCCAAGGGAGCCACUGGCCUAUUCCCUGCAUAACACUGGGGAAAGGGAUCCAACGAAGGAAGGACAGAUGCAUGUCCAGUAAAGUUGGGGUGACCUAGGGAAGAUACUUGUGUGUCAGUCACUCCGGAGGACAGAUCAUUGGCCAAAAUGAGCGUGGCCACUGCAAGCAUGCAAAUAUUUGGGAGUACACAAUCUUCUAAACAAAGGAGUUCUCUCUCUUGUUGCUCUUAUGCUCUUGGCUUCCUUGCAUUUCCCCUGCUUCCUCGAUAGCCAUGUGGUCGUGUGGACCCCACAUGCCAUGGACUGAUGGACUACAGUGGGGAACACAGAUUAUGCGAGCCCGAUGCUGGAUUGGAUUCUGCUCUAACAUGGAAAGGAAACUCUGGACAUAGACUGAUUCUAGUGCUAUUGAAACCCUAGCUACACUUCCAUGACUGGGCAAAGGGAAAUGGAAUUUUGGAAACUCAAGGACAUAAUGCCAUGGAAAGACAGCUUUCUACAAUAUCACAUCCUCCUGUGUGAGUCUCUUUUUCUUGGGAUGUCUCAAGAAAUCCACCCCCACUAGCAACUGGGGGAGAUGAGGACCUCUCAUCUGUUAUACCCAUAUCUAUAUACAGUAUUCAUUUAAUAAUUCUGAUACCCGGCACAAUUUCCCCUUCCCCUCUGCUUUCUGGAUCCCACUCCUUCACCCCCAUAUCUUUCCCUUUCACGCCAAGCAGAAAUCCCCAGUGUGUUUCCUUCAUUCACUCCUCAUUACGCUGUAACUGCCCAUUCAUGCCACUGUUUCCUUUUUCAUUAAGGUUUCCGGCUGUCAGUUUUUCCUUCAGAGUACAAAGCCAUCAAUUGAAAGCAAAAGUUGAGUGAAAGUUCUAGGCUUUAGGGAAACUCUCACAUGAAAGGAUUUUUCCCUCCCUGAGAAAGUUUUUGGAAAGGGAAUGUCCCUGUUGCAAUGAUGUAACAGUAGCUGUAGCAAAAAGGAAAUAGAAAGUAGGAUCCAUUUUACUCUGUGGCCUGUUAAAAAAAUUUGUAUGAGAAGGGUGCCACCUACUGGCCAAGAUGGAUAAAGACUGAAACAAGGUCUAGGGAUCUGGCUUCUUAUAUAUGCAGAAGUCUGUCUUGCAGAUUUAGCUCUAGGGUUUCAAAAAAACCUCUUGCUUGGAAAGAGCUGAUCUUCAUACCGAAAGAAGCCUGCGUUCUAAUUUAUAUAUUUUUAAAAUGUAUACUUUAACAUAUAUAUAUAUAU